UCAAACAUCAAGCCCAGCUUGGUAUUGGGUGUCGUCCCCUGGGACGCACCUGGAAAUCAGCGGCGGUGCAGCCGGAACACCAGCGUAGUAACUACUCCCGCUCGGUGGCUUCGGGUGCUUCAGCCGGAUGACCCCCCUAAUCACAUCAC
rnacentral:misc_RNA from 1 species